ensembl:misc_RNA Metazoa_SRP Metazoan signal recognition particle RNA
GCCAGGCAUGGUGGCGCAUGCCUGUAAUCCCAGCUACUCAGGAGGCUGAGGCAGGAGAAUCGCUUGAACCGGGGAGGCGGAGGUUGCAGUGAGCCGAGAUCGCGCCACUGCACUGUAGCUUGGGUGACAGAGUGAGAUCCUGUCUCAA